CAGCCGCCGCGGUAAUACGGAGGGUGCAAGCGUUAUCCGGAUUCACUGGGUUUAAAGGGUGCGUAGGCGGAUCUGUAAGUCAGUGGUGAAAUCUCCAGGCUUAACCUGGAAACUGCCGUUGAUACUAUAGGUCUUGAAUUUUGUGGAGGUUAGCGGAAUAUGUCAUGUAGCGGUGAAAUGCAUAGAUAUGACAUAGAACACCAAUUGCGAAGGCAGCUGGCUACACAACUAUUGACGCUGAGGCACGAAAGCGUGGGGAUCAAACAGGAUUAGAUACCCCCGUAGUCCCUGUCUCUUAUAC
rnacentral:rRNA from 1 species